rnacentral:rRNA from 1 species
UACAGAGGUCUCAAGCGUUGUUCGGAUUCAUUGGGCGUAAAGGGUGCGUAGGUGGCGCUGUAAGUCGGGUGUGAAAUUUCGGACCUUAACUCCGAAACUGCAUUCGAUACUGCGGUGCUUGAGGACUGGAGAGGAGACUGGAAUUCAUGGUGUAGCAGUGAAAUGCGUAGAGAUCAUGAGGAAGACCAGUGGCGAAGGCGGGUCUCUGGACAGUUCCUGACGCUGAGGCACGAAGGCCAGGGGAGCAAACGGG